GAUGAACGCUAGCGGGAGGCUUAACACAUGCAAGUCGAGGGGCAGCACGAGAUAGCAAUAUUUUGGUGGCGACCGGCGCACGGGUGAGUAACGCGUAUGCAACCUACCCUGUACAGGGGGAUAGCCCGGAGAAAUUCGGAUUAAUACCCCAUGAUUAUAUUUAGAGGCAUCUUUAGAUAUUUAAAGCUUCGGCGGUACGGGAUGGGCAUGCGUAACAUUAGCUAGUUGGUAGGGUAACGGCCUACCAAGGCUACGAUGUUUAGGGGUCCUGAGAGGGUGAUCCCCCACACUGGUACUGAGACACGGACCAGACACCUACGGGUGGCAG
rnacentral:rRNA from 1 species